CAGAAGCCACUGAGACCAACGUCAUUCCAGAAGCCACUGAGGCCGUCACUCCAGAAGCCACUGAGACCACAGGCUCAUCAAAAGCCACAAGACCCCGGGGCCAGAAGGCAAAAAAAAGACAAAAUCCAGUCCAACAGAGGGUAGCCAGCAAUAUGAAGCCAAAAAAAAAGUAUGAGUGUCCAGAAUGCUGUUGGAGAGUGAGGCAAAACAACUUUGACUACUCCAAGGUUUUGAAAAGAAGAGUGAGAGAGGGAACAGAGGAGGUCCUCAUUUGUUGGGUUCCAUGCAAGACCUGAUGACAUUGAGCGGAGAACAUCAUGAUGGUGCUGGUUCCACCCCAGGGCAGGAAGUAGAACAGUAGUUGGCAUGCCGUGUAGAUGUACUAUCGUUAUCUGCCUCUGUAAUUGGAUAGAAGACCAGUAGUAGUUGUCUUUUGAUCUAUUAUUCAUUGGCAAUGCAAUAAUUAUGCAUUCAAAGCAUCAAAUUUAUUUAAUAUUGGCAUAUAAUUAUAAAUAGAUUUAAAUACAUUAGAAAGAGAACUGUUUCAAUUUCCAAGAAACAAAUGUUACUUGUUUUACACAAGCUGAACAGGAUUAAACAAAAUAACCUGUAUUAUGAAAAUCAGGUGAUCAGAGAACAAAUAUAAAAUAAUGGUUCAUACACUAAUAAUAAUUAUCUUGUCUUUUUAGACUUCUAAAGCUAUACAGAUCCACUUUGGGAACUGGAAACCCUUAAAGCUCACCUUCACCUGGAAAUCAGAGAAUGGGUAUAUGGUCUCGGUGACUUGACAGAGGAUGCUACCUAUGGGCUCAACAGUCUCAUCAAUCGGAGGUCACUCAGAAGUCAACACAGACAGACUGUAAAUGCAAACAGCAGUAUAGGCGCUUUCGAUUACAUUGAGGACAGGACCAGUGCACUGAAGAUGUGUACUAAAUAAACCUGCCUUGCUUUUAUAUCAAACAGCGCUUUUUAUGAAGGGAUUUACAGUAUAAGGGAAUUUUCAUCAGAAACCCAACUGUUAGAAAAUAGUGCACUUUGAUUUUUACAUUUCAAACCAAAGCUACUAAGUGUUUUCACCCAUAGCUUAGAGAUAAUAAAGAGCCACAUAUCUUCAGGAAAGUAUUGACAAAAUAAAUAAUGGCACUUUGCUAAAAAGUUCAGAUUAUGUAUUGUUAUUAGAAACAAGGACAACAUACUAACUGUGGGUAAAGGUAUUUUCCUUUCCAGCACUUUUAUACAAUGUCAAUUAUAUCUUAAAAGUUUUUAAGAUAUAUUUACCUGCCUUAAUUCUUAAAUUCAAAACUCAAAAAUGAAAGAAGAUAUCAGCAAAAACUGAAAUUGUACUAUUCUUAUGAAUAUUUGCAUUUAUUUGUCUCUUAUUUUUCUGACAACAAAAACAGAAAAGCUGCUGUUUCUCCUGACUGACAUCACCAAGUAGCGGAUUAAUAAUGUUAAAAGUAAUUUUGCAUGUUAUUACAAUGCAUUACCGGUAUUUUGCUUUAAAUAAAUCAUUGUUAUUUUUUGCAUGUAAAAAAUCUGAUGAAGUACAAUAAUUACAAUGUACUUUACUUCAAUAUUUCCAUAUUAUACUUUGUGUAUGUAUGUAAGCUAUGUAUGCAAUAUGUAUAUACUGUUUGUAGUUUCAGCAUACUUGUUAGUGAACACCAUCAAAUCGAUAUUAAACCAUACAUGUUUUUCUGUUAUGCUUUCCAUAUCGCAUCAUCUAAAUGUACAUCAAUAUAGUCAUAAAUCAUAUCCACUUUAGCUGACAUUCUGUAAAACUGUAUGGAGAAAUAUCUUUCUUUGUCUUGAUGCAUACAUAUGUGCAAUACUGUAAUAAAAACAAUUAUGUUUUUUGCUUGUUGAAUGAACUUCCCAUUAAAGUACCAU